UAGGGAAUCUUCCACAAUGGACGCAAGUCUGAUGGAGCAACGCCGCGUGAGUGAAGAAGGUUUUCGGAUCGUAAAGCUCUGUUGUUGGUGAAGAAGGAUAGAGGUAGUAACUGGCCUUUAUUUGACGGUAAUCAACCAGAAAGUCACGGCUAACUACGUGCCAGCAGCCGCGGUAAUACGUAGGUGGCAAGCGUUGUCCGGAUUUAUUGGGCGUAAAGCGAGCGCAGGCGGAAGAAGAAGUCUGAUGUGAAAGCCCUCGGCUUAACCGAGGAACUGCAUCGGAAACUGUUUUUCUUGAGUGCAGAAGAGGAGAGUGGAAUUCCAUGUGUAGCAGUGGAAUGCGUAGAUAUAUGGAAGAACACCAGUGGCGAAGGCGACUCUCUGGUCUGCAACUGACGCUGAGGCUCGAAAGCAUGGGUAGCGAACAGG
rnacentral:rRNA from 1 species